rnacentral:rRNA from 1 species
AUUGAACGCUGGCGGCAGGCCUAACACAUGCAAGUCGAGCGGAUGAGUGGAGCUUGCUCCAUGAUUCAGCGGCGGACGCGUGAGGAAGGCCGAGGAAUCUGCCUGGUAGUGGGCGACAACGUUUCGGAAGGAACGCUUAUACCGCAUACGUCCUACGGGCGAAAGUGGUGGAGCUUCGGACCUCACGAGAGCAGAGGAGCUUAGGUCGGAUUAGCUGGUUGGUGAGGUAAAAGCUCACCAAGGCGACGAUCCGUAACUGGUCUGAGAGGAUGAUCGGUCACACUGGGACUGAGACACGGUCCAGACUCCUACGGGAGGCAGCAGUGGGGAAUAUUGGACAAUGGGCGAAAGCCUGAUCCAGCCAUGCCGCGUGUGUGAAGAAGGUCUUCGGAUUGUAAAGCACUUUAAGUUGGGAGGAAGGGCAGUAAGUUAAUACCUUGCUGUUUUGACGUUACCAACAGAGUAAGCACCGGCUAACUCUGUGCCAGCCGCCGCCGUAACAC